rnacentral:tRNA from 26 species
AAAGCUAAAAGUGUGGGUUCAAGUCCUGCCCCUCCUG